UACCCCACCUUUCCUCCAGAUUGGAGACUUGCAGUGUUUUGGUGGUCAAGGAAUCACACACCCCUGCACCUUUGGAAGUUUUAAGCAACAUCACAGGAAUCUUCAUAGGACCAAGGUUUAAAAGCUUAAUUGACAGGUGCUUUCACAUAGAACCAGAAACAGUUCUUUUCAGAACAGCGGAGUAAUCCAGUGCCAGACUUCUCAGAGCCACCUGGUCUUUGAAGAGUAAUCAUGUGUGUGGAUAGCUGUAAGAAUGACCAAGGUACAAAAAAACAUACAAGCAAAAUUAAUCCCCUGGACAUCUAAGGAAGAGGGAGGAAAACACACACUACCUU